CAGUUAAGUUUAGGCAAAGUCAACGAACUGAUCCAUUUUGGGAUGUGGAAUGCAACUAGAGGAAGCCCACGGAUCAGAUUCUUCAGAUGCGAGGGCAUCGAAUCUGAACUGAAGAAGGCUGCAAGGGAGUACUUUGAGAGGGAGGACGGUGUGCAGGUAGACUUAGCCAGGAGGAGAGUCUACCUCCCCCGUAUUAUCAAGUGGUACAGUGCUGAUUUCUGUCAAGAGAAACAACUCCCGAAUUGGAUCAUCAACUACUUGGAUGCAAGUAAGGCAGGUCUUUUGACGCAUCUCCUUAGUUAUGGGGGGUCUGUCAACAUAGCCUACCAGGAUUAUGACUGGUCUCUUAACCUCUGAUCAACCCAUGAUGUGUAUUCUUCUACAAAACAUUAUAUAUAUAGAUAUAGAUUAUGUGGGA